AAGUGAGUUAAAAUGAAAAUGCUGUGAAACAGUGGGAGGCAGAGAGAUACAGCUGUGUGAUCCACCGCUUCUCUGGGUUGUGACCAUUCUCACCAUGCAGUUAUCUGUGUUUGCUUGUCCAGCGCAGACCAUGCCCAUGCUCCAGAACAGGAACUCAGGGAACGUGUUCAUGCAAGUCUGGUCAUCCACAACAGGCACAGUUAUACACUUCAAGCGUUGAGAAGGCUCAUCUGUUUCCAAGAGCAAGAAGAUGUAUGCACGUAGUAGCACUGCAACGUCAGCAUCAGCCAGAGAAAAUGGACAAGCUGGGCCCGUACAGCGACAUGUACUACAUAGGUUUAUUAUAGAUUGUUUCUGUUUUUUGACGCAAAGCCUUAUAACAUGAUGAGUUCAGGCGGUAAGAAUUACAGAAGAAUGGUUAGAGUAUUCAUUUAUUGUCAGCUCUUCUU